GGGCUGUCGGUCCCCCAGGGUGAAAGGCACCGCAUUGUGACUUGGGCCAGCUUCUUUCCACGUGUGCCUUUGACCCAGACGUGGCUGUGGCGCGGCCGGACGUUUCUCUUCACCCUCUCCAGCAGGUCGCAGAAAACACACACGCAAUCGUUUUACACACAGCACCACAAGACGGAUGGUCAAGUGCAUAAGGUCGUAGUCAUCUUCCACAAUGAAGAGUACCGGCUUACUUAUAGGAAGGCCUCGGUUUUGUCAAGAUGAUCCUAGACACUCUGCUGGCAUCAGGCAAGCCGGAUCAUGACAACUCACUUUUCCAAGGAAAUAAUCCAUUCCUCAAGGGGAAAUCGAAUCGGAAAGGUAUGUGGAAAAUGGUUAUGAAACAUGCAGUCCGGUUUCUAAAUAACAAGUUUGUUCAGCUUCCCAGGGUCUGUUCCACUCCGUGUAUACCCAAAUAGCCCAUAAAAA
rnacentral:lncRNA from 1 species